CUGACUGUAGCUUGCAAGUUGUCAGUUCCUGUCCACAGCUAAAAGUCGUUAUUGUACUUCCAAGUACCGGGACAAAUAGUUAACGUUGUGUCAAGCCAAGCCAACGAUGUUUGAAAUUGGUGGACGUUUUUUAAAUUAUUGAUAUUCCAGUUUUCUUAAAAGGAUGGAAGAUAAGCGACACAACUUUGCUAACUAGGGACAGAGCAGCCAAACGGCAAACAGACAACGAUGAAGCCGGACAGACAGGACUUGUAGACAGACAUGGACUCAAGGUCAUUAAGAAGUGGAGCCACCUCUGGCUAGUACUAUUGGCAACAGGAACCAGAACCAAUACAUCAGAAGAAAAACUGGACAUUUGUGAUUUCCUGGAAGCAGCAACGUGACUGUUGGAAGCAGCAACGUGACUGUUGGAUCCAUACUGGACUAACUUGGAGUAACAUUAGAAACAUGAUGUUCAUACCCUCCGAUGUAAAGACACUUGCAAUUCUAUGGGACUAUUUUGGACCAUGUGGUGGAUAAUGUCAAUCUGGUUUUGAUAGCCAAAGUCUAGGUUGGGGAAUUGUGGUUGAGAUUUCCCCCACAUGGUCUCAGCUUACAGCCCUCCUGGGCUCUAGGCUGCAGAUAACGUCUGUCUAAAACUAUGCACUUGGGUCACAGUCAGUUUAUAAUGGAGAAGUCAAAGAAAAAGGUGGAGAUCACGCAAGGCGAUCUAGAUAACAUUAAAAAAAACUCACUUUUGUGAUUGACAUUGAGUACAGUGGCUUCAGAAAGUAUUCAGACCCCAUCACUUUCACUACAUUUG
ensembl:lncRNA